rnacentral:lncRNA from 1 species
GUGAAUGGUGUAGGUGCUAGGGGCACAGAGAUGAACCCACCCCAGCCCAAUCCAGACCUUGGUGCAGGGAACUUACAUCCUAUGCACAGGUGAGACCCAGGACAGGAAGUGGGGGUGUCCAUGCGUACAUUGAUAAAAGCAUCAGCUGUGCACUGUCAGAGAGGGUAAGUGCUACAAAGACAGCACAGCAAUGAAAGGAGACAGCGUGGUCAGCAGAGGCCUCUGGCCUGGUUCCCGCACUCUUCAAGACACUAAUAAGGCGUGUUCCAUAGAGAGGCCGGAGGACCCUGUGAGCAGAAGGGCCACUGAAGGACUAAUGGAUACAGGAAGUGACCCCUGGUGAGUCAAGACUGGGAGAAGAGAUCCCCGGAGCACCUGUGAGCAGGCAGGUCUGGAUGGAACCUCCACCUGCUGUGUGGCCUCGGGUCCCACCUCCUCUCUGACCCUCAAGCUCUUCAUCUGUAGAAAGGGCCUAAGAAGCAGCUCUGUUGUAUAAGGGAGGAAUGCAACAAUGUCACCUGAGAGCCUGGAACAGACUGGCACAGGAAUAAAGCCCCUUCCAGGAUCAGGCUAGAGCUUGUGUUCGUCGCCCUUUCUAUACACGGCCGCCUUCCCCUUCCCCUGACUCACCUCUGGGGCAGACUCUGUUAUGAUACCAUUUGGUGAGUCAGGAAAGUGGUUUCGUCACGGCUUUGGUGUUAUUCACCAUGAUUACCUCCUCUGGCAGCGCCAGGGGAGGGUCAGGUGACCCCAACGCUUAGCAAGGCCGUCCCCUGAGACCCAGCUGCUGAGUGGCGGGUUGCUCUGGAGGAGGAAACGGAGAGGCAUCGUGUUGGACAGAAGUGACCCGACCCACUCCAGGCCUGCACUCCGUGGAGGGGCACGGACGCUGCCCACGCUGUGCCAACGCACAUCUUGUUGGAGUUCCAAUGCACGUGUGGGCAGUUAACUG